CUAGUUUUUUUCCAAAACACGGGGGAGACGGGAGAGCAUGGUAAACUAAGGCGCCUACCUCUGAGUUUGGUAAGGUCCCAGGUUCGAUUCGAGGAAACCCAGACAUAGAGAACAAUAAUAUAGAAGUAUAUAUAUCAGUCUCCCAAAUCACGGCACUUUGCAGCAAAAUUGAAAGGGAAAACCCUAAAUUUUCACUUUCCCGGGUUCUCCAAAAUUUCCCUCUCUAAGUUUCAAUUUCCCACCAUGAAAUCUCGCCAAAUUCACUUUAGAAAUCACCCCGUUCAUUUACUCAAACCGAGGUAUCAGAGCAGAAGAAAAAAAGAAAAAAGAAACCGAGUUUUAUCAAUGUGCUCUGAUGCUUAAUGACCCAUCGAGCAUCACUGACUUUGAUCCAUAGCUUUUCUUCCUUGCAUAGUCUUCUUUUGCUGUUCUUAAGUGCUCAGGCUGUCUCUGGCUCCAGUAUGCUCAUAGAGUUCUCAACUCUGAAAGGUACCAUCAUGCCCAUCUCCUUUACGUUUUGGGAAGGACUGAAAGAUGACGCCUGAUUCUAGGAAAGUUGGGACGGGGAUGGCAGCAUCCCCAUCUCCUUUUCUCACGCCUCGGCCCGAAAAGCGGCGUGGUACUCUUGAUUGGAAUUCGAAUCACAAGGAUAAGGAUAAGGAAGUUAAUGUGCAAGUUGUGCUCAGAUGCAGAGUCUAUCAUAUGAAGUGUUUUCGUAUUUCAAAACAACCAUUACUUCUUCCUCACCAGCUCAUCCAGAAUUCAUAUUUCUGCAAGAACCAGGGAAUCAAUGUCGGAGAUGUUUAGAAGCUUCAGGACGCAGGGAUCUACACCUGCAAUGGCUUGACGAUGCACACCAAGAAUGUAAAGCCAACUUAACCUCUGAAUUUUUGAAACUGUAAAUGUUCAAGUUGGAUGUCCUUACUGUGAUUGUUUUUUGGCAGAACUUGACUGGAAUUAAAGGUUUAUCUGAGGUCAAAGUCGAUAAGAUUUGUGAAGCUGCUGAGAAGAUUGUGGUUAGUGCUCAAAUUCUGUUGCAGUCUUGUACUAAGUCUGGUAUUUGGUCUAGCUGCAAAAAUGGCUGAAGAGCCAUUCAGACUUCUGGAAAAGAUUUCAGUACUUUACUCCCUCAGCUGGGUCGGAUCCCUUUUUUUUCUUUAUCUUUGUUUCCUCCCUUAAUUAUACAAGAGUUUUAUUUAAGAUCUGCAUGGCUUCUAAUACAUAUGGAAUUGACCAUUCUGUUGGAUAAUAUUAUUGCAUUUAGUCUUCCCAUAAUUAUUGCUUUGCUUCCAGUUCAACUUACAUUCAUGAUUCAAGGUAUAUAUUUUGUUUAGGUUGCCAAUGUGAAUUGUGUGUCCCUAGAGUCAUUGCCAAGGUAUAUAUUCAUGAUUCAACUUUCUGUACUGCUUCUGAUUUUUAAUCUUGUUUUGUUUUCAGAUAAUGAAUUUUAUGUGUGCUUGCUAUCCAUCAUAUCGUUCUUUACAUAGGCCAAGUAAAAAUGGGACACUUGAAGGUUAGCCUUUCUUAUAACAGUUUGGAUCUCCAUAAUCGACACCAUUUGUAUUUCACAUCCUUUUUUUUUCCCCUUUAUCUUUGUUUCCUCCCUUAAUUAGUCUAUAUUUCCUGGAGGAGUUCUUUCCAUAUUUUGUAGUAAGAAAUGAUGUCUCCUUGUAUUGACAGUUGGGGAAAACAAAAUUCUUGAUGCUAAAACUGGUUCAGCAAGCAAGAGGCGACGUAGUACCAAGACUGUUAAAAGUGCAGAAAUCAUCAUUUAACAGGUGUGCUCAUCUAUAUAUCAUGCGAUCCCAAUAUUACAAUGUCAGGUGGUUUCACCUUUUCUUGGUAGGGUCUGUGCUGCUGUGAAUAAUAUUCUUUAGAAAAUGAAAGUUGAGAUAAGUGGUAUAGCGUGCAGGAGGUUCAAAAGUCAUGUUAUGCAACUUGAAGCCCUAUUGAGAGGAGUGGCGCCAAUGUUGACAGCAAUAGGUUGAGGACUAGCAAAAGAAAGAUCAAAAGGCCAAUAAAGUACAUUAACUACCGGGAUUAUACACGGUACUUCUAUGCAUCAAUUUUAGCUUCACGAGUAUUAAAAACUAAAAAGACAUGCUAAGCAGCAGCUUGAGUUUCUUCAAGUGUUUCCUCUUCGUCAUCAGUCUAUAUACAUGUUCCACGCUCAUGAUGCUCCUCUAGGUAACUACUAUUAAAACUGUCUUUUUGUACAAUGAUUUGAGUUUUGUAAUUGAUCUUUUUGGUAACUUUUUCAGUUUUAUAGAUAAACUACAUUUAGGUGGUUCCAGACUUCCAGUGCUAUCUGAUCAUGGAAGUCCUAUUGUAGGUGGAGGGUUCCUCUGUACAUUACUUCAGAAUGUUGUGCUAUUUGUUUUCUUUAGAUUAAGAUUUGUACAAUUGUAUGUAUGUCUAUU